rnacentral:rRNA from 1 species
UACGUAGGGACCGAGCGUUGUCCGGAAUCAUUGGGCGUAAAGAGCGUGUAGGCGGCUUGCUAAGUCUUGCGUGAAAUCUCGGGGCUCAACCCCGAGCGGUCGUGGGAAACAGGCAGGCUAGAGUGCGGGAGAGGAGAAUGGAAUUCCUGGUGUAGCGGUGAAAUGCGUAGAUAUCGAGAGGAACACCUGCGGCGAAGGCGGGUUGCUGGGCCGACACUGACGCUGAUGCGCGAAAGCCAGGGGAGCGAACGGG